CCAAAACAGAGGCCAAAAUGGUUCCAUUUCAACACCUAGUACCGCCUGCCUCGGACUCUCAAAGUGUUGAAUUACAGGCACCAGCCAGCGCGCCUGGCUCGAAUCUCAUUUUUCCAUCACUGAUCAGUAUUAAAAUUAUCAUGAUUUUUUAACUUGUGUUUUUUUGCCCCUUCCUCUAGAAUGUAAGCUCCAGGCAGGCAAGAACUUUAUCUUGUUCACUCGAAGCUGAAGCCCCAGCAUGUACAAUCCCGGGCUGGGUCGCUUACUCAUCAGCAGAGAGGAACACGGAUUCUCUUUGGAAAAGACAAACUACCCUCCCGGAGCCGCGGCACAGUCUCACUGAGGGCCUGCUCCCAUUCCAGUCAAAGGGCGACAAAAAGAAAAAACGUGAGCCACCAUCAGCCUCAGAGAAGGAGAGAGUGUCUGGCUUCCCCACCCUGGCGUUUCUGCAUCCUGAGAAACUCACUGCCUGUGGAAGCUCCAGGCCCCUCCCACCUUGUCAGACGCAGGUUCUGCUGGAAGGAGCCUCCAGCCUCUGGCUUUGCAGCCGAAGCUCAGAAUUGCCCGUGGGGGACCAGAAGGUAAGAACAGACCUGGGCUGUAACUUCCACAGUGCCUCCUGCUGGCUGGGGAGCGGGGACAUGUCAUGUGCCACUAUGAGCCUCAGUUUCCUCAUCUGUCCAAUAGGUAUGCUAAGCCUCUCAGGCCUGCCCCAGCCUUGCAGAGGGGGUGGGAGAGCAGGAUUUCCCAUCUCAGACCUCAGAGACAAAUGUGGCUGCCAAACAUAGCCUGACUCAGUGCAGGCAGCCCUGGGCCCCGUCGGGCCGGCCCUGUGAGGGAGGGCGGUGUAGGGGCACCCAGCUGCCUACGUCCUCUGGGAGGGAGGCUCCUGGUGCCAGGAAAGAGCAUGGACUCCAGGUCUAAUUGGCUUUCUCUGCCCAGCUGUGGGACCUUGGGCGAGCCACACAAUUCUCGGAGCCCCUAUUUCUGCAGGGCUCCUGCUAAGUCACCAGGAUGCCUGUUUUCUGGUGUCCGGGGUGGGGGACCACCCCCAGUAUCUCUUUUUGGAUCAAUUUCUGGAACAUUCCCGGUCUUCGAAGGCCUUUCCAGGCCCUUAGCCACUGCUCCUGCUGUGUGCUCACAGCCUAAGUGGGAGUAGGGGGUGGGCUCUUACUGGAUCUAAAGGAGCUGUCUUCGGGGAAGGAUGUGAAGUCAGGGGCGCAGGCUUCUCACUCUCUGGUCCAGCUUCCCAGGAGCCAGAGGCCAGAGCCCCAGACCAAGAGGCCUCGACUCCUCAGCCUCUUCUCUCCUGCUGCCUGGGCCACUUCCUCCGCCGCUGCCUGGGCCUCCUCCCCCCCAGUCCCCUUGGCCAUUUACUCUUCAUCAGCUCCACCAUUCUUCUCUUCUAAGCGGCAGCAAGCAGAGCUGAAGUCUAGCUGUACAUCAAUCACACCAACAGUAACCAUAAUGCAGUCGGUUUGCCCCUGAACCCGCAGUCCUGUCUGCUCGGGGCUUACCUGUGUCGCUUCACCCUUUGGGUGGGUCACCAGCUCACCGAUGCCCCUCACUGUCUCGAAUGCCAGCUCAGGGCUGUGUAGAGAGCCUGGGCCCCAGUGUCAGACAGACCUGGGCUCAGAUGCAAGUUCCACCACCUUUCACAGUGGCCCUGGCUUUGACCUCCCCAUGCCAGGCCUCAGUUUCUUCAUUGGUCAAGACUGAAGCCUGGUGAUGGUCUGCUGGGUGUUACUUCUAGGCUCAGCAGGGCGUAUGACUCACACAUCGAGGAGAGCGCGGGGCAUGUGACCCAUCUGCCCAUUACAGAGCUCGGCUGUGUGUCCUCGCUCCUGCUCUUAGGGAACUGACUCCUGGGUUCAAGGAGGCAAAUCCCAAAACACAACUGAUAAUGAAGUGAUAAUGCAGAUCGGUUGGUAGACACACAAGGCGGUUCAAACUCUCCCCUAUCCCCAAGGCGCUCACGGCCAGGCAUGGGAGAUAGGUAACAGCAUCUUUAAUAAAAUUAGGGUCACAACAUCUUUAAUAAAUACUAAGGAUAAUCUAUUGAGUAAUUAUUGCCGGCUAGGAACUUUAAAGAAAUUUAUAUGGAUUUUAUUUUAAUUCUCACAAACCCUGAGAAGAAAGAUGUUAUUAUCUUUAAGUUACCGGUAGGAACGGAGGCUCAGAGAGGUAAGGUCUCUGGCCCAGGUUCACACAGCAGAGCACAGAGAAGAUGGAACUGAGCUUUGAGCCCCGAUCUGCCUGAUAUGGAGGGGCCAUGCUCUUACUUUGUCUGCUCUAUCCCUCUGUGCACAAGUCUAUGAUCUUCCAAACGCCAUUUCUGUGCCAAACCAGGCGCUGUUUCUGCAUUAAUACCCAUCCUGAUUACUGCAGUUUUGGUUGCAAGUGUCAGAAAAUCCAAUUUAAAGGACUUAAAUAAUAAAGAGAAUUCACUGACUCACAUAACUGAAAAAGGGGUAGUAGUUCCUGCUUCAGGCAAGGACUGAUCCAGCUGCUAAUGCAUUGAUUGGUAUGAAUAGGACCAGUGAGUUUUCUUCUUCUCCAUUCUACUUUUUAAAAAUUCUUCUUCUUCUUCUUAAUUCAGCUCUAUUCUUAUUAAGCUCUACUUCCACAGUGUCAGAAUCAUUCACAGCAGGCACGCCCUCCUGCCUCCAAGAGAGUCACCAGCAGCUUCCUCCUCCACAGCUGUGAGUAAAUGAGAGGGUCCACUCCACCCAAUAGCUCAAAUCCCAGUUUCAGGAUUUGAUCUGUGGCUGAUCAGUCGAGGGACACAGGCCCAUUCCUGAGCCCAUCGCUGUGGCUGGAGAGAUGGGAGACACCGAUUGGUCUAAGCCAGUCAAGCCCUCUCAAGGCCAAAUCGCGUGGGCAAGAAAUUUAAGACAAGGAGAAGAAGAAGAAAGAGAAAAGAGAAUGUCAAGGAGACAAAUGGCAAAUGGAUACCCACUCCGUCCCUCCUACAAGGGAGAUAUAUUCCCCCCAUUUCAUGGAGGAGGAAACUGAUGAUCAGAGCGGCCAGGAAACAGGACGGUACCCUCCUGUACGUAGGCACAGGCCAAACGAGGUGCCCACAGUCUUAAUACUUCUUUCCCCAACCCACAGUUGUACCUCACUCUAGAAACCAAAGGAUACAAAUGGAGACCAGGCUCAUUUUUGCCCCUCAAACUGGCGAAGGUGAAUAAAAGCAUGUCUCUUGAUGCUGGGGAGUGUGGAGUCGGGGAGGUUGUUUACUCCUGCCUGGUAAUGUAGACAUUACCAUGAGCUUCCUGGAAGCAAGAGCUUCUA
rnacentral:lncRNA from 1 species